CUUGGUCAUUUAGAGGAAGUAAAAGUCGUAACAAGGUUUCCGUAGGUGAACCUGCGGAAGGAUCAUUAGUGAAUAACCUGCUUGGGCAGUCGCUUCGGCACUGCCCUCGCAACUCACAUCCAUAACACCUGUGAACUGUAAGGAAGUCUGUGCUUCGGCCCGACUUUCCUGCCCCUUUUUAUAAACAUCAGUCGUCUUAAAAGUAGUCUUAUUAUAAUCUAAUAAAACUUUCAACAACGGAUCUCUUGGCUCUCGCAUCGAUGAAGAACGCAGCGAAAUGCGAUAAGUAAUGUGAAUUGCAGAAUUCAGUGAAUCAUCGAAUCUUUGAACGCACCUUGCGCUCCAUGGUAUUCCGUGGAGCAUGCCUGUUUGAGUGUCAUGAAAACAAUCAACCUUGGUUUUGGGGCAACCCUCGAUCUCGGCUUGGACUUGGGCGUUUGCCAUCUUCACGGGUGGCUCGCCUCAAAUGAAUUAGCUGGACCUGUUUGUGAGGAAUGGUUCUACUCGGCGUAAUAAGUAUUUCGCUGAGGACAUGGCUUCGGCUGUGGCCUUCCUCUCGACGAUCGUCUGCUUUCAAACCCUGUUCUCCUCGGAGACGCACUUUUUAUGAUCUGGCCUCAAAUCAGGUAGGACUACCCGCUGAACUUAAGCAUAUCAAUAAGCGGAGGA
rnacentral:rRNA from 1 species